rnacentral:rRNA from 1 species
UACGGGGGGGGCAAGCGUUGUUCGGAAUUACUGGGCGUAAAGGGCUCGUAGGCGGCCAACUAAGUCAGACGUGAAAUCCCUCGGCUUAACCGGGGAACUGCGUCUGAUACUGGAUGGCUAGAGGUUGGGAGAGGGAUGCGGAAUUCCAGGUGUAGCGGUGAAAUGCGUAGAUAUCUGGAGGAACACCGGUGGCGAAGGCGGGUCUCUGGGCAGUAACUGACGCUGAGGAGCGAAAGCGUGGGGAGCGAACAGG